rnacentral:lncRNA from 1 species
AAUCGCGUCAAUCAGGUUAGAGAAAACAAAAAUGUUUUUCACCUUCUGAAACCCUCUUAUUGUUGUUUCAAAUGAAUUUGAUUGUUUUUCUGUUUUCAGUUAGAUACGAGGAGUAACGGCUAUUUUGAAUUAAGAUUAAGAUUUUGGCUGAAAGAUUAAGAUUGGUGAAAGGAUGAAAGCUCUUUAGGAUUUAGUCCCUGGAUGCAAGUUGAAACAAGUUAUGGUUAACUUAGUGUCAAUUUCAGUUUUUUAUAUGCUCUCACCACAUAAUGUAUAACUAAGGAAAAAAAUAAGCAUAAGGAAAG